rnacentral:miRNA from 1 species
CAUUUCGGAAGCAUUAUUUGAA